GACCUCUUAGCUCAGUGGUAGAGCGUGAGAUUCCAGUUUGUUGGCACUUCCUCAAGGUCAUCCGUUCAACUCGGGUAGGGGUCA